rnacentral:lncRNA from 1 species
UGCUUUCAUAUAUUGAAUGAAUGAUGAUUGAUAGAUAUGUUUCAAAUGUGUAGGUAAUGGAAUAAAUGACAGUACACCUCACUUCAUCAUAUACUAUUUGUUUAUAUAUUUAGUUGUAUAACAAUAAUAGUAAUAAUAAAUCCUCCCUAUGUUAUGUUGUGUCCCUAAAGAGAUAUUCAAGUGAUACAGACUUCAAUAUAUAUACAGUAAAUUUAUUUUUCAAACUCCCAUCUCUAGAUAUAAAAAAAUAAAAAAAUACUCCCUAUGUUCUACAUACAUGUAUAUAAGUGUGUUUGCAUACAAAAUGAUAGGUCCAACUAAGUAAAGAUGCUAACAUGCUACUUAUCAAAAUAAUGAACCAAUAUCUAGAUUAACGUAAUUUAAAGAUUCCGGAAUUUUCCUCAAAAAAAAAA